GGCACAUCCUCCACCGUUUCUUGCUUCUUUCCCAUCCAAAUGACAGUUCUCUGGACACUCUUCACAUACAAAUCUUUCUUCUCGCCGGGAACAUAGUUUGGUCCCAUAAUUCUAACUUUCAAACCAGUUGAAACUUUCCCAGAGAAGACACGUCCAAAGGCAAAGAACCUGCCCUUGUCUGAUGCAGGAAUCAUCUUCGAUACAUAAAGCAUAAGAGGUCCUUCAGGAUCACAACUUCUAAUGGCACUCGCAUAAGCAUCAUCUAGUGGACCCUCGUACAAAUUCUCAACACGGUACUUUUGAG
rnacentral:misc_RNA from 1 species